CCUACGGGAGGCAGCAGUGAGGAAUAUUGGUCAAUGGACGAGAGUCUGAACCAGCCAAGUAGCGUGAAGGAUGACUGCCCUAUGGGUUGUAAACUUCUUUUAUAUGGGAAUAAAAUGUUCCACGUGUGGGAUUUUGUAUGUACCAUAUGAAUAAGGAUCGGCUAACUCCGUGCCAGCAGCCGCGGUAAUACGGAGGAUCCGAGCGUUAUCCGGAUUUAUUGGGUUUAAAGGGAGCGUAGGUGGAUUGUUAAGUCAGUUGUGAAAGUUUGCGGCUCAACCGUAAAAUUGCAGUUGAAACUGGCAGUCUUGAUUACAGUAGAGGUGGGCGGAAUGCGUGGUGUAGCGGUGAAAUGCUUAGAUAUCACGAAGAACUCCGAGUGCGAAGGCAGUUCACUGGACUGCAACUGACACUGAGGCUCGAAAGUGUGGGUAUCAAACAGGAGUAGAUACCCUUGUAGUC
rnacentral:rRNA from 1 species